rnacentral:rRNA from 1 species
AUUGAACGCUGGCGGAAUGCUUUACACAUGCAAGUCGAACGGCAGCACGGGGCAACCUGGUGGCGAGUGGCGAACAGGUGAGUAAUACAUCGGAACGUGCCCAAUCGUGGGGGAUAACGUAGCGAAAGUUACGCUAAUACCGCAUACGAUCUACGGAUGAAAGCGGGGAUCGCAAGACCUCGCGCGAGUGGAGCGGCCGAUGUCAGAUUAGGUAGUUGGUGGGGUAAAGGCUCACCAAGCCAACGAUCUGUAGCUGGUCUGAGAGGACGACCAGCCACACUGGAACUGAGACACGGUCCAGACUCCUACGGGAGGCAGCAGUGGGGAAUUUUGGACAAUGGGCGCAAGCCUGAUCCAGCCAUUCCGCGUGCAGGAUGAAGGCCUCGGUUG